GUAGGGAAUAUUGGGCAAUGGAUGCAAGUCUGACCCAGCCAUCCCGCGUGCCGGAAGAAGGCCCUCAGGGUUGUAAACGGCUUUUGACGGUGAAGAAUCGACAGGAUGCGUCCUGUUUUGACGGUAGCCGUUGAAUAAGCACCGGCUAACUCCGUGCCAGCAGCCGCGGUAAUACGGAGGGUGCGAGCGUUGUCCGGAUUUUUUGGGUUUAAAGGGUGCGUAGGCUGGAAGGUCAGUCAGCGGUGAAAAGCUGUCGCUUAACGAUAGUCUUGCCGCAGAUACUUCCUUUCUUGGAUGAGGAGGAGGCCACUGGAACGGAUGGUGUAGCGGUGAAAUGCAUAGAUAUCAUCCAGAACACCGAUUGCGAAGGCAGGUGGCUGUACCUUAAUCGACGCUGAUGCACGAAAGCAUGGGGAGCAAACAGGAUUAGAAACCCCUGUAGUCC
rnacentral:rRNA from 1 species